AUAGGGAGAGGUAUUAGCAGUAGAAAGAGGGAAGUGCUCAUGCUAUUGUACAGAACACUGGUGAGACCUCACUUGGAGUAUUGUACACAGUACUGGAGACUGUAUCUUCAGAAGGAUAUUGAUACCUUAGAGAGGGUUCAGAGAAGGGCUACUAAACUGGUUCAUGGAUUACGGGAUAAAACUUACCAGGAAAGGUUAAAG